rnacentral:rRNA from 1 species
CAAUAGCGUAUAUUAAAGUUGUUGCAGUUAAAAAGCUCGUAGUUGGAUUUCUGGUGGGAGCGAUCGGUCUGGCGCUUAGCGCGAGUACUUGCAUCGUCUCCGGCCAUCCUUGGGGAGAGUCUGUCUGGCAUUAAGUUGUCGGGCAGAGGAUCCUCAUCGUUUACUGUGAAAAAAUUAAAGUGUUCAAAGCAGGCUUAUGCCGUUGAAUAUAUUAGCAUGGAAUAAUAAGAUAGGACUUUGGUACUAUUUUGUUGGUUUGCGCACCAAAGUAAUGAUUAAUAGGGACAGUUGGGGGUAUUCGUAUUCCGUUGUCAGAGGUGAAAUUCUUGGAUUUACGGAAGACGAACUACUGCGAAAGCAUUUACCAAGGAUGUUUUCAUUAA